UUGGUUUCACCCGAAGAUCGUGCGCUAACCUUUYAGGAGGCAGCGAGCCACGGUGGGAUCAGCGACUGGGGUGAAGUCGUAACAAGGUAGCCGUAGGUGAACCUGCAGAAGGAUCA
rnacentral:rRNA from 1 species